rnacentral:rRNA from 1 species
AGCAGCCGCGGUAAUUCCAGCUCCAAUAGCGUAUAUUAAAGUUGUUGCAGUUAAAAGCUCGUAGUUGAAUUUCGGAAUCUGUCCGUUGGUCGGGCUUUGCGGUCCGUACUGGCGUGGUGGGUUCUUACCUUCUGAAUAACCAGCAUGCCAUUAAUUUGGUGCGUUGGGGAAGCAGGACUAUUACCUUGAAAAAUUAGAGUGCUCAAAGCAGGCUAGUGCCUGAAUACAUUAGCAUGGAAUAAUAGAAUAGGACGGCAUGGUUCUAUUUUGUUGGUUUCUAGGAUCACCGUAAUGAUUAAUAGGGAUAGUUGGGGGCAUUAGUAUUCAAUUGUCAGAGGUGAAAUUCUUGGAUUUAUUGAAGACUAACUUCUGCGAAAGCAUUUGCCAAGGAUGUUUUCAUUAAUCAAGAACGAAAGUUAGGGGAUCGAAGACGAUCAGAUACCGUCGUAGUCUUAACCAUAAACUAUGCCGACUAGGGAUCGGACGAUGUUAAUUUUUAAUGACUCGUUCGGCGCCUUAA